rnacentral:rRNA from 1 species
UACGGGGGGGGGCAAGCGUUGUUCGGAAUUACUGGGCGUAAAGGGCUCGUAGGUGGCCAACUAAGUCAGACGUGAAAUCCCUCAGCUUAACUGGGGAACUGCGUCUGAUACUGGAUGGCUUGAGAUUGGGAGAGGGAUGCGGAAUUCCAGGUGUAGCGGUGAAAUGCGUAGAUAUCUGGAGGAACACCGGUAGCGAAGGCGGCAUCCUGGACCAACACUGACACUGAGGAGCGAAAGCCAGGGGAGCGAACGGG